rnacentral:rRNA from 1 species
GAUGAACGCUGGCGGCGUGCUUAACACAUGCAAGUCGAACGGACAGGCUCCUGCUUGCCGGGGUACUCGAGUGGCGAACGGGUGUGUAACACGUGGGUGAUCUGCCCUGCACUUCGGGAUAAGCCUGGGAAACUGGGGCUAAUACCGGAUAGGACCACAUUUUGGAUGGGGUGGUGGAAAGUUUUGCGGUGUGGGAUGAGCUCGCGGGCUAUCAGCUUGUUGGUGGGGUAAUGGGCUACCAAGGCGUCGACGGAUAGCCGGCCUGAGAGCGGGUACGGCGACAAGGGUCCUGAGAGACGGAGCAGACUCCUACGGGAGGCAGCAGUCGGGAACAUUGCAGAACGGGGGCAAGCCUGAUGCGGCGACGCCGCGUGGGGGAUGACGGCCUUCGGGUUGUAAACACCUGUCGCUAGGGACGAAGCGCAAGUGACGGUACCUGGAGAAGAAGCACCGGCCAACUACGUG